GUUUUUAGAACUCCUCUGUUGGUAUUCUCGUUAAUAAUUUUUUUCAAUUGUGUGAGUUUCCCCAUUGCUAUGACCUUGGUAGCCCGCCGAAAACCACAGUCUCACGCGUUCGAAGUUACGUCGUUGACGCAGGACAACAGGAAAGACCGCGCUUUUGCUGCGUCCUGCGUCCGACGUGGCCAAUAGGAGAACAUAAUG